CUGCAGUGGAUUUUUCGGCCUUUUCAAAGAAGGAUUCCAGAGCCUCUUGAUAAGGGCCCGAGCACUGACUUAGUCGGAGCGGAGGACCUCUCACGUUCAUGAUUCCCUGAGAUGAUCAUCUAUUACAACACUUGAUGGUACAGUUCCACAUCCUAUUUACUGUCUCUUUCUACCCCUUUUCUGCUCCAGAUGAUAACAGUGAGCUGAUUGAGUCUGCUCAGAGGGACGAAACUGACCAGCUUGAGACCUCUGUGGAUGGCCUGAAUCCAACAUUCACACAACUUGGUCUCUUCAACUGGGUUGAAGAGAUGAUAACAGUGAGCUGAUUGAGUCUGCUCUGAGGGACAAACUGACCAGCUUGAGACCUCUGUGGAUGGCCUGAAUCCAACAUUCACACAACUUGGUCUCCUCAACAGGGUUGAAGAGUUUGUUCUGGCAUCAAUCCUCAGAAGAGUUACAAAUGAUAACCAACACCCAUCACAGUUUCUGGAGUGCAUGUCCGAUGAGGAAUGCACACGGACUCGGAAACACAAGAUGACGACGAUGAUGAUUAUGAUGAUGAUGAUUCCGAUGCAAGCAUCCCCAUUACGCCUCAUCAGUUGAAACCAGGACGGAUUCAAGUGAAACCAGUACUACCUGACGCUGGAGCAUCUCAUGGGUCAGACACAAGCAUCCCAGUCGUCAAAAGAUCGCCCAACUCUUCAAAUCACUUCCAAUGCUGCUGAAACCUCGAGUUACCAACGACUCAACACAGGAAAAUUGUGAAGUUGAACUUAACAGACAACAAGUAACCACAAACGAUUACUGUUAUGUUUAUGGUAAACCACAAAGCAACACUAUCUGUCUCUCACUGUCUUUAUGUCUCUCUAUCGAUCUCUCUCUGUCUCUCUCUCCUCACUGUCUAUGUCUCUCCAUGUCUCUCUCUUUGUCCCUUCACUGUUUAUGUCUCUCUGUCUCUCUUUGUGUCUCUCUCCUCACUGUUUAUGUCUCUGUGUCUGUCUUUAUAUCUCUGUCUCCUUAUUGUCUACGUCCCUCUGUGUCUGUCUAUGUCCCUCUGUCUCCUCAUUAUCUAUGUCUUUCUGUGUCUUUCUCUCCUGACUGUCUACGUCUCGAUGUGUCUGUCUCUUGUCUUUAUAUCUGUCUCUUUAUUGUCUACGUCCCUCUGUGUCUGUCUUUAUGUCUCCCUCUGUCUCCUCAUUGUCUAUGUCUGUCUCUAUGUAUCUCUCUCUCUGUCUCCUCCAUGGAUAUGUCUCUCUGUCUGUCUGAUGUCUCUCUCUGUAUCCUUACUUUCUAUGCGUGUCUGUCUGUGUCUUUAUGUCUCUCUCUGUCUCCAAAUUGUUUAUGUCCCUCUGUGUCUGUCUUUAUGUCUCUCUCUCUGUCUCCUCACUGUCUCUGUCUCUCUGUCUUUAUGUAUGUCUCUCUGUCUCUCUAUCUUUAUGUAUGUCUCUCUCUCUGUCUCCUCACUGUCUCUCUGUCUUUAUGUAUGUCUCUCUCUGUCUCCUCAC